UGGCUGAGCGGUAAAGCGCUUGACUUCAGAACAGGGGUCCGGGGUUCGAAUCCUGG
rnacentral:tRNA from 1 species